ACGGAAGGCAGCAGUGGGGAAUAUUGCACAAUGGGGGAAACCCUGAUGCAGCAACGCCGCGUGAAGGAAGACGGUCUUCGGAUUGUAAACUUUUGUUCUUAGUGAAGAUAUUGACGGUAGCUAAGGAGCAAGCCACGGCUAACUACGUGCCAGCAGCCGCGGUAAUACGUAGGUGGCAAGCGUUGUCCGGAAUUACUGGGUGUAAAGGGAGCGCAGGCGGGAAAUCAAGUUGGAUGUGAAAUGUCGGGGCUUAACCCCGGAACUGCAUCCAAAACUGAUUUUCUUGAGAGAAGUAGAGGUAGGCGUAAUUCCGAGUGUAGCGGUGAAAUGCGUAGAUAUUCGGAGGAACACCAGUGGCGAAGGCGGCCUACUGGGCUUUAACUGACGCUGAGGCUCGAAAGUGUGGGGAGCAAACAGGAUUAUAUUCCCUGGUA
rnacentral:rRNA from 1 species